AGCCAUUUGUCAUCAGGUGCUGUUUUUCAUUUGCAUUGUAUUUUCCAGUUAACACUCCUCUCUCCAGCAUCUGAUUUCAUAGCAGGGAGAGCUAACAUUCCUAAGGACACAGGCAGUGGGAGCCAUGGGAUUUCUGCAAAAUCCUCACUAAUGUUGAAGGAAGAGACUAUCUUGGGAACACAGCCCCAUUUCUUGUCUUUGCUCAUAUCCAGAGACAACCGUGGUAAAACCUGCAGCCACACGUGCCCACAAAGAGCACGUUCUGUCUGACAUUUCAAGCCUUGCGUGAGGAUCCCAAACCAGCUUGUGUUUCAGCUGGGAGUGGAGCAGAACAGUACCAGAGCUGCUUAGCCAUGAACCAGGGAAACGUCAGCGCUAAACUCUACUUCAGAAUGGUCUAGGAUUCAGCAGAGCCGGCAGUGACAUUGGUGAAGCUGAUGGCUGAGGCCAACUGUGCACAUCUUAGAGGAAAUUUCAGCAGAAAUGAAUGGUGGUGAUGAAAGGUUAAUGGCAAGCAUUGGCACCACAGCCAUUUCCAGAAUACUCCAUCUCUCCCUCAAGCUCAGAAGUAUGCUUGUUGCAAAUUUGGCCAGGUGAUCAUGGGCACAUGGUAAGCAAAAUGAAGAAGUCUGAGUGGGACGGUUGUGAGAGAAUCUGUUCUUUUCUAGCAUGAAUAAAAUGCAAGCAACUCCUGGACUUGCCUGGAGCUUGCUUUGUCCGCUCUCUAGCUGUAAACAGUAAUUAAAACCUUGAGCUGUCGAAUCUGUUUUGUGACACUGUGGCUCGCUGUUUUGCAUCAAGUUUUAGUAUGAAAAGUCUCCUUGCUCUGUCUGCUCCUGGGCAACAGGCAGCACUUUUUCAUCUCUCUGAGGAUUUGGGAGGAGGACUUGUUGGAGGCAGCAAUGCCAUCUUGCUGCUUCUUCAUGACAUUUAAAGGCUUGAAGCAGAAAACCUGAGAUGAUACGAAAAAAGCAAAAGAAACAGGCACCUGUGAAAGAUUCCAUAAGCAGUAAUUUGAAAAGAUCUUCAUUCAAACAGAAAACAUUCUAUCUAAGUGCAUUCCAAAGAAUCACCACUCCUGACAACGACAGAUAAAUUUCAAAUUCUGGGUUGAACAGUUAUUGUCUCAAGUGUUUUAUUCAUGGGCACAAUAUGCAAAAUACAGAGUGCGGAGCCUUACUGAGAGCCAGAUUGAGAGAAAUACAAAAACUAAAAACUACCUUUGUGGAAUCAAAAAGGGUAUUUGAGGACCUGCAACAUAAUGCACUGGAACAUAAAAUUCUUCACCCAAUGGGAAGUGAGUGCUGUAUGUCUUCUAUGAAGUUGAAUAAACUUCUGCUCGUUUCAAUUAUGUUGCUGAAUCAAAAGACCAACUCCUAGGAACUGCUCACGAUCAGUUUAGCGCAGUGUUAGUAAGUACUUUCUUUGUCUUUUUUUUUUUUCUUUUUAACUACUUUUUGGAUUUAAUAACUUGAUAUUACUAUUUAUAGUUAUAUUUAAUAACUAUAUGACGAUUUAUUUAAUACCUUAUCUUGCAUAGGAUUCAGAAUCUGAGAAAAAAAAAAGAACUGUAUAUGUGUGCACUUUUUGUUACUAUUCUGUUACAACCAAUUAUUUCUAGUUCAACAAUUCUGUAAAACAGAUGGUACUAUUAAAACUUUUGGGGGAUGGAUACCAAAGGACCUUUUGAGGUGGUACGUCUUUGCAUGCCCAGCCUUUAUGUAUUGUCAACACCUGGGUGAUGCCUGAGGCAUGCCAACCAAUAAUUAUAUACCUUCAUUUUUCUUUCCUGACAGUCUGUCAUCAUUCAUUUUAACUAUGAGUUAAAGAGAGAUUCUUCAUGCCUACCCCUUCACCCUGUCCCACAUUCUACAGUAUCUUCUCCAAAAUCAUAUUUGUUUCACCAGCAGGUUAUAUAAUGGGGUUCACUACAACUGUUUUGCAUACGAAAGAAAGAAUCAUACAGUUCUGGAUUUUCUGAACUACAUAAGUGACAGCUGCAGAACAGAUUAUUUAAGCAACUCUAAUCCAGGAAGUUACUUGCAAUUAAUUUUUUUAACAUUAAAUUCCUAAUGAUCAUCAAGACAGUUAUUUUGAUGUUACUUUACAUAAGGUCAGUCAUGGUUUUCACCUUAAAGGAAGUCAAUCUUGAAACAGAAUUUGUAUGUAAUUCAUGCAGGGUCACAUCAGCAGUGGGUUUCUUUGAGAAACAAGGAGGCAUAAAACACUUGUGUCUUCAGUGAAUGAAAGUUGGGUUGGAAAUAGGGAGUUCACCUCUUCAAAUGAAAGUAGAGUUGAAAGACGGAAGCAAUCAGUAGGUAAUCUAGUCUGAUCUCUUGUAUAAUAUGAGCAGCAACUUCUGUAAUGAGCUUAAUCAUUUGCUAGUAAUUAAUGCAUAUGUUGCAUUUCACUCAGGUAGCUCUUACAGAAAAGCUUUCAGUCUUCAUGUGAAGGCAUUAAGAUGUGAGGAGACUACAUGUGCAUUGGUCUUUGCUCCGGAAAUUAAUCAUUCUUGCAGUUAAUUAAUAGAUAAUUUCCCCAUCUUAACUAACUUGUGCUUAGCCUUCCCUGGUGACUUGUUUUGCCUUUCAUGAUUUAUUAAAAUUGCUUUUAUGGCCACUAUUCUGUUACCAUGUAGAUAUUUUGUACUUUGUAAGCAAACCACCUCUCACUAUUGUUUUUGAAAUGUUGGAAAGAUUCCUUAGAAUCAUAGAAUCACCAAGGUUGGAAAAGACCUAUAAGAUCAUCCAGUCCAACUCUCCACCCAUCACCAGUAUUUCCCACUAAACCAUGUUCCUCAGUACAUCUGACCGUUUCUUGAACACCUAUAGAGAUAGUGACUCCACCAACUCCCUGGGCAGCCUGUUCCAGCGCCUGACCACUCUCUUGGAAAAGUAUUUCCUAACAUUGAACCUGAAUUCCCCCUGGCCCAACUGGUUUUCUUGGCCACCUGGGCAUACUGCUGGCUCACGUUCAGCCGAGUGUUGACCAAAGUCCCCAGGUCCGUUUCUUCCACACAGUCUUUCUGACAGUUUGCCCCAAGCCUGUAGUGUUGCCUGAGGUUUCUGUGGCCAAAGUGCAGGACCUGGCACUUGGUCUUGUUGAACUUCAUCCCACUGGCCUCAGCCCAGCUAUCCAGACUAUCCAGAUCCCUUCGUAGGGCCUUCCUACCCCCUGGCAGGCCUUAUUCCAUCCACAUAGGGAUUGAUUUGUUUGUUUGUUUGUUUAUUUAUUUGAGCUCUUAAGUGAUUUUCUUUUUUUCUGUACAUGUAGAACUUUGCAGAUGGUUGCAUUAUCGAUUGCAGUUUGAUAGCAUAUUCCUGCCUCUCUUCUCAACUUCAUAACUUCAUUCAUCAUUCAGCCAGGACAUGUGACAGCUGUACGUCUGAUUAAAUCUUUGACUAACAAAGCUAAAUAUGUGUCACAGCAGAACCAUCUGCUCAAGGUGAUUCACAGCUUUUUGAAAUUCGUCUAUGAGCCUUUCUACUCAAAGAAUCAAAGUUUUUUUUUUGUUGGUUUUUUUUUUUUGGUCAGAGUACACUUUUAAAUACACCCAGAUGUCUAGUGGUAGUGUGCAUAUUCUUCAUAGAAUCAUAGAAUCAUGGCUUAGGUUGGAGGAGGGCCUUAAAGAUCAUCUAGUUCCAGCAGCCCAGCCAUGGGCAGAGCUGCCACCCACCAGAUCAGGUUGCCCAGGACCUCAUCCACCCUGGUCUUGAACACCGCCAGGGAUAGGGCACCUAUAGCUUCUCCGGGCAUCAUGUGCCAUUGCCUCAUGACCUUUUGGGUAAAAAAUUUCUUUCUAACAUCUGAACUAAAUCUACCCAUUUUUAGCUUAAAGCCACUCUCCCUUGUCCUAUCACUAUCAGACCAUGUGAAAAGUCAGUCCCCCUCCUGCCUGUAAGCUCCCUUCAAGCACUGGAAGACCACAAUGAGGUAUCCCUGAAGCCUUCUCUUCUCCAAGCUAAAUAAGUCCAAAUCCCUCAGCCUUUCUUCAUAAGAGAGGUGCUCCAGCCCUUUGGUCAUCUUCAUGGCCCUCUGCUGCUCCAACAGCUCCAGUAUUUUUCUUGUGCUGGGGGCCCUGGGUCUGGACACAGUAUCCCAGAUGGGUACCUUGUGAGGUACAGCCUCACAAGGGCAGAGUCAAAGGCGACAACCACUUCCUUCUCCCUGCUGGCCACCUCUCUUUUGAUGCAGCUAAGGAUACAGUUGGCCUUCUUGGCUGCAAGCACACACUGCUGGCUCAUGUCCAGCUCUUCUUCCACAGGACCCCCAAGUCCUUCUCUGCAGGGCUGCUCUCAGUGAGUUCUUCUCCCAGCCUGUACUCAUAUCUGGGAUUGUCUCGAACCAAGCUAAACAACUUGCACUUGGCCUUGUUAAACCUCUUUAGAUUCUCAUAUGCCCACUUUUCAAGCAUAUCCAAGUCCCUCUGGAUGGUGUCCCUUCCUCUGUUGUGUCAACUGCAUCACUCAGCUUGGAGUCAUCCUCAAACUUUCUGAAGGUAUACUCAAUCCCACUGUCUAUGUCACUGAUAAAGAUAUUGAAGAGCACUGGUCUCAAGACAGAUCCCCAGGGGAUACCACUUGUGACCAGCCUCCACCUGGACAUAGAGCCAUUGAUAACAACUUCCCAGCUAUCACUAGUCAACCAAUUCUUUGUCUGCCAGAUAGUCCAGUCUUCCACUUUCAGUCCUUCCAUUAAAGGAUUCUUAUCCUUUAAUUCUUUGUGAUGUAAAUCCUACAUGAAUAUUUCAUUAAUAUCCCCUGGAUUAAUACCAGGAUUUAUGACCCCUAGUUACACAGGUCAUCUACUUGCACUUCUAUUGAGAGCUUUCACAAGAUUAAUGCUCUCUAGGCAUCUGAGUCUUUCUGCUAUCGCGUGAUGUAUGGCAGAUGAGUAUCAGCAAGCAAGGCUUUUCAGCUAAUUCUUAAGGAAUUCUUGGUGGAGAAUUUUCUGAAUCUUCUGUUUUUAAGAUAUUUAUCUCUUGUGGAUGGUGUUCAAGAUUCUUCUUAAUUACUUACAGACUGCAAAACGCUGCAUUGCCCUGUAGUUUCAUGCAUCAUCCAUUUUAUUGCCACAGCAGCUGCUCUUCUCAGUGACCAGGCCUUAGAUCUUGUCUAAGAACAAUUGCAGUGAACACUGUUCAUUUGCUUCCAUUGUAAUUUAUAAAUAAUAUGGGAAUGGUCCGUCCCCUGACUUAUAGGUGUGAUUUUCACUGACUUCAGAAACACUUGCAGCAAAUACAGUAAAUGCAGGGUAGAAUGAGAUAAUGUCCUCUAGUUGAUAAGUUGGUUGAAUGAAAGAGAUUUCUCUCUACAGUGCUUACCUUUCUCUGAUGGGACUUGAAGAUAUAGUCUAAACACAAUAGUUAAAUCAUGAACCUGUAGGUUGUGAAUAAAUAUAGGUAUGUCUGGACAUCCCUUGAUACGUGUAUUAUGUUACAGAGACUAUCAUCAGUGCUUUUCAGAAGGCUAGUCAUAUAUAGAUAAAAAUGAUUUCAGUGAAAAGCCAACAAUUUAGUAAUUAUUACUGAAAACAGUCCUCAGCAUGUUCAGGGGUGAACAAAGUCAUACAUAUGUCUACAGAAAAGUAUUUUAGUUCAGUUUGUAAUGUUUCUAUGAUUUCUUUGUAAGACUAGAAGCAUGUAUGCGUUUAAAGUGUCAUAUAACUUUAUUCAAUUAUGCUUGAUUGUUAUAAACAUAUUUUCUUGAAGUAUACUGAUAACAGUUAAACUGAUGUUUGUUAAAGAAAUGACUCAACCAAAAUGAUAAGAAUUGACACUACUUUUGCUACUGCUUUUAAUGCAUCAUCAACUAAAGGCACAAGAAAUGUAUCUUUGGUGGAAAGACAGUUCUGAAGAACAGAAAAAUAUCUGAGGAAAUCUCAUUCAAUUAACUGAAAACAACAAAAAUAAUGAUCCAGACAGAGGCACAUUUCAGAGAAAGAGUAUGCUUUUGGCUCUGAUUAUCCCUGCAUUGACUCAUACAGUUUAAGGGAAAUAUUAUGUCAAAGUAUCUUGUAAUAGCAGAGGAACAAAUAACUAGUGGUAACCAUAAAUGUUCAUGAAAACAAACAAACUUGUGUAUACCAACAUGUACAUAAUGGCAAACAAUAGCAGCUCUAAACAUUGCUUAAUUUAGUGCAGUACCUGAAAAGUCUUUUGUCCAAGAUGUGCUGAAAUUUUCUGGGCAACUUUAUACUUAUUACCCCCUGUUCUGACAUGUUUUAUGAAAAAACUACAGGAAAUUGUACGUAUCUUCUUUAUGCCAGCAGUCAGAAAGGACAAAAGACUCAACUUGCAGUUGAAAAACAUCAGAAAUGCAGAAACAAAUGGUGUUCCAUCACCCACUGUAUACAGUCUCUGUGCUGAACAGCCUAUAUUAGAAAUAGCAUGCACUAGCAAAUAUUGGCAUGUUAUUUCUUUCUUGACAGACUUGAGAAAAGUUUUCUGAAAUUGUCUUACAUAUUAAGAUGUUAAAUAAAACUAAAGUAGAUGUGAAUGCGCUAGCUCCUGUAUUAAAAGUGAUUUAGAUAUGAUUGAGUUAGUUUGAUCCAAAAACAAAAUUGUCCAGUAACAGCAUUAGUAAAUAAUGCCCAGAUCUUUAAACAAAAGAGGUAUUUAGAAACUGUUAAAUAGAAAAUAAAGUUUACUUAAUAACAGUGCAUUUAAUGGACCAAAAAAUAACUCUGUAAGUUAUAAAACAGCAUGGUCUGAAGCAUGUAACUCUGUAAUCUGAAAUCAGGUACAAAUAACAAAUAAAGGUUUUAUGCAGAUGGGUAAACUACAAAAUGUAAGUGCUAUGACAAUGUAAAUGGUACUUAGCAACAGCUGUCUUUUCUGUUCUAAUAUGCAUGAAGGUUUCAAAAUGUACCUUGUGAUAAAGAACAUAAUAUAUCAGCCUUGAUUAUAUCGUUCACCUCAGCUUCUUCCACCAGAAAGUGUGAUAAGGCUCAGAGAAUACAAUAGUCCAGUAUGUUCAAAUGCCUGGGUUUCCCGAGAAGUAUGCAAGGUGCAAAAUAAUGCCAAUUUUUAAUUGCAAGAAAACUAUUAGAUGAGAGUAAACACUGAGUUACAGGAGCCCAGUCACUGUCCAGAGUGUGGGAAAGCUCUGCCUUCUCUGAAAGACUCUGUCCAGGGGCAGUGGAGGUCUUCCUGACAUUAAAGACUGGUUUUAUAGGCGAUCAAAACUGAUUAACCAGAACAAGAUAAUUAUUUAUACAGAGAGAUUACUACUCUGUCAGAUAUCCCAUAUUAAGAAAGAAGUUUUGAGAACAAAUUUCCAUGUUCCUCUCUUCUUUUACAAAAUGAUUCUUAUAGAAGUCCAACAUUUAGAGUUAGUUAUUGUAACAGUAAUGAGACAGUAUUUCUAUGUUACGUCUGUAAUAUAUUUCAAAAAGUUUAGUUCCAGUUGGCUGGACGUGCUUCAUCACGUCUCAAAAGAGAAGGUGUUCCAAAGAGACUGUGGCUACAAAUAUUUCAGAUGUUAAAGCAAAAAGGAUGCAAGAUGAAAAGUGAAAGUGCUGAACACAACUGACCAAAUUAGAAAAUAAGAAAAAAAUGUGGGAAGUCAACAUGAAAGCAAGGAAAUAAAAGAUGCUGCAGUAUACAGAUCCAGGAAAAUAUUGCAGGCACUGUUUUAGAAGCAGCUGUAUUUCUUGAUGUGAAAUAUCUUUUGCUUUAAUACAACCAGUCUCUAUGCACUUGUACUUUAUUAAUAAUAUAACACUUAUGUUGAGUAGUAGAAACAAAAUAUAGAGGAAUUACAGAAAAUACUACUCCGAUUCAUAAAUUCAAUUUUUGUCUGUAGAAAAAAUACAUAGAAAUUUACCUGGGAAAGAUAAAUCUACAGGGACUCUUCAGAGUGUUUAGAAGAACAGAUUCUAAAUAGGGCGCCUCUGCGAUGCUGUGUGUAGUUCUUAAGGAUACCCUCUACUCUCACUGGCAGGAAUUACUGCUCUGCGCUAUGCAGAUGCUGGUGUUCUGAAAACUGUGGGUGAAGAUGGCAGACUUCAUCUUUCUUCCAGUCAUGGCAAUGGCUGUCAGGGGCUCAUUAUGGUUGUCUUCUGCACAGAGGCUUUAAGGGAAGAGUACACCUAUAUCAUCACUUUUCUUCCUGUGUACCAUGUAUAAGGUAUAGGAUUUCCCUUCUGCACUUCUGUGAUUUAAAAUUUCCUACAUAUUUCUGCUGAUAUGUGGAAUUGUUGCUACUUUAUUAUUAUUAUUAUUAUUAUUAUUAUUUUGUGCCAAGAGAGAUUUGUUCAUUCAACUAUCUAUCUACUAAAAUUUCACUGAAAUUCACAAAACUGGUGAUUCCUCUUCUUGGAUUUAGAGCUGGUAAAAGUGAUACAGAUUUUACAUUCUCAAUGCCCAUAUAUAAACUUUAAAUGUAAUGAACAAAUCUUAAACACAAAUUUACAUGUAAUUUACAUAGACACGGUUGAGUUUUAAUAAUAUAGUGUUGAGAGAUGGAAAAAAAUAUGUAUACAUUUUUAUUUUGGCAUAUUUUAUAUAUUUUAUUUUGGCUGUAAAGAAAAAAAAUCAGAAAACUCAUUUGGACAUGUAUUUAAUAAGAUAUUUCUCAUCAAUCUCAUUAAACAAGCAAAAAAAAUCAAAAUAAUUUGACUAUUCAUUCAUAGAACAUAAAUUAAAUAAAUUUGCCAUUAAAUAUUUUUAGCAUGUCUAGAAUAAAAAUACUUUUAGUUGUAAAUAAUGUAUUUUACUUUUAAAAUUGCUGAACCUGUUAUGCUCCCAAAGAUAAUUUGACAAGAUCUAAGAAGGCUCAGCUGGGAAAUCUCCAAAUAUUGGAAGGAUGGAUGAUACCUUUGUUAGGAUAACUGGGAGACUGUCUGGAUACACUGAUACCUCUGCUGCAGCUUUCCCGAGUUCAUUAUUGCUUUGUUUGCAUUCUCAUGCUAUCUAGCCUUCCUAGAAACAGAGGCCCCAGAACCUCCCCACAAAUCCUGCUUGCAUGGGGAGGGUAUCACAGCUCAACCGAGAGCUGCUCCUCUCCUGGAUGUCAGCCAAUGCUGCUAAAUAGGGAUGGGGCCACAUCCUUGACGCCCAGCAAUGGUCAGCUACAGAGGUGUCCCUGUUCACUUCACUGCAGAAGGUCACCAGGAAAUCCAAUCACCCCCGGAAGUAGGAUAUUUCUCCUUUUAGGUGGUGUUUUAUUUUUGCUUAGCAGCUGGCCUGAUUGGCUCUCAUCCUAUAGAGGGCAAAAUGUUACCUAAGUGGCAAUGGAUAUUACAGCAUGAUGUGACACUGCUGACGUCCUGCAUCAUCCUGGGCAAGGAAGGAGUACCUCAGUCAUGUGGAUGCCAGACAGGAGGUAAGUUUGUGACAUGCUGACAUGUGUGGCCACUGCACUGUAGGUAAGGGAUGGGCAGCCUGGGCAGCUGCAUAGACACUGUCAACCCAAAUCCAGAUGCUCCCUCCUCACCAUUGCUGCCUGCUUGCAAUCUGAAAAGUUAAAAAAAAAAAAAAAAAACCGAACUGUUUCAGCUUUCCUAAAUACUCUCAGGAUUCAUAAAUCAUUUACUGGAAAUUAAGAUUAGUUAUGACAAAGGACUGUAGUCCAGAAGUAGGAAAAUUAACAGUUAAGGAUAUGAUUAAUUUGUACUGCGUUGUAAAAAAGAAGAGGCCAUUGAAACGUUAAUGCCAAGUGAAUCCUCUAAAACUUUCAGCUAUUUUCAUGAUGUGAACAUUGCUCGGAACCUACACAUUAAAAAGAAAGGCUAAAUAAUGUCUAUAUUCUGACUUUGCAGUGUUUUUGAUCAGUAUUGCUGAUGUUCCAAGGCAUCAAUUAUGGCAGACACUUAAAAAAUCCAUUUGACGUUUUCAGUUUUAAAGUACAGAAGCCAUGAAUCACCAUUUAGAAUCACAGAAUUAUAGAAUGGCUUGGGUUGGAAGGGACUGUGAAGAUCAUCAAGUUCCAACUCCCUGCCACAGGCAGGGCCACCAACCUCCAGAUCUGGUACUAGACCAGGCUGCCCAGGGCCCCAUCCAAACAUUUACCUACCUUUGUUAUUUUUUCAAGAUAUUAGUUGUUUAAAUAAUUAUGUUGGAAAUCACUUUAUUUCUGGAGAUAUUAUGUCAUCCUGGAGGCAUAUUUUGCAACUAUCACUCACUUUUAGUUGUCCAUUACUCUUUCAGAAAUCAAGGUUUCUCAGGAAUAGCAAAUAGGCUUCAUUACUCUACAGAAACAGAAAAUAUGAAAAAAUACUCUACACUGAAAUAUCCUGAUAUAACUCAGAAUCCAAUAAAAGGUUCUUAUUAUUUUGAAACAUUUUGAGUGGUUUUUUUUUUUUUUAAUACAUCAUAUUGGCUAGCAAAAUGUUUAACUGGCAUCAUUCUGUGGCAUUUUGUCAACUGAUGUUCUUAUUGCUAAUACAAAAUGGCAGACGUACAGUAUCUGUAAAUAUCCAUGAAGACCACGUAGGUAGAAAAAUUAUCACAACAAUGCUUCACCUUUCAGUACUUUUUCUGGAUUAUGGUCAUGUUUGAAGUGCAAGAAAUAGUAAAAGGCCGGUUCUUCUACCUUAUCAAAAAAGUAAUAAUAAUAAUGUGCUGUCAGAUUUAAGUGGAAAGAUUUGAGCUACUGUCUUGUAUAAAUUGAGGUUUUUUUUUUUAAUGUGGGAAAAAGACACAACAAUAGGAUCAAUGAGGCAAACUUGAGAUUAGGCAAAUAAUAUCAUGCUUCAAGGAGCAUUAAAAUAUGCUUAAAUUAAUCAUGGAUUAAUAUUGUAAAAAUGGAAUACCUGUUGCUGUUAAUCUCUUAGAAGUAAACUGAGCUAUUGAAGACAACACUGUACAACAUUUUCAUGUGUGAAAUGAGGCAGGUGUUUUCAACUUUUCUUUUGCUAGAAUACAAAUAAUAGUAAUAAAGAAUACUGGUGAAAUGUUUAUUUCAGUAAAGUUUUCCUCAGAGCUUUAGUAGAGUUUUUUGUAUAGUAAAGGAGGCAAAUAAAGUCAAAUCCUGUAAUAAUCCAGGUAUGGAACUGCAUCUGGAAAGCAGUCAAGAAGAAUAAAAUUCUAUGGUUUUAUCGUGGGAUAAAAUAUUAGAGAUGAUGUAAUUCCAUUUGCUCAGAUUUAAGCUGUGUCUUCUGCAUAUUCUAGGGAAGGAAAUCUAUAUUUUGCAAUUAAUAGAUAAAUUGCUUUAAUUACUUUCUCUCUCUCUUUUUUUUUUCCUCUUGAAAAAUUAGGCAUGAACUUAAACAAAUAUCUGGCAAAAUUUCUACACUUUCACAGCACAAAGCACUACUAGUCAAAUUACGAGAUAACAUUUAAAAAAGAGCAAUACUUAGGCAAAAAUAGUCUAAUUGUGAGAAAGCAGAACAUGUCAGCCUUACCAACAGCCUUGGGUAACGUGUUCAAUACAAUUGCUGCAUGAAGCAGAAAUAUAUAUACAUAUCUGUUGAUGUAAACUUUUCUGAAGUUUAAAGAUCAGUCAUUCCGGUUUGAUAAUAGUACACCUGAGUUGCAAACUAUUUUUUGAAUGAGGUCUAUUUUUGAGUCAUGUAAGAAUUAUAAAUAAUGUUCAUAUUUUGAAGAGUCCAUUUUAUUUCAUUGUUAAAUUGGUCAAAGAUAAGACCAAACUGAUCUAAUUAUUGAAGACCUCAAUUUUCAAGUCUGAUUUAUUUAUGCACCAAUUCCACUAAGUUGAUGAGGAGAAAGAUACGGAUUUAAUGAUGUUUUCAUCCUCUACGCUUUUGCUAGAGACUCUGGCCACUAACCAGCAUGGAUCCUUAGUGCUCCCAAGCUCUUACAGGUUCCUAUUCUAUUAGAAAGACUUCCUAAAAAAUGUAGAGAUACAAGUGUGGAAAUAGGAAGGAAAACAUGAAAAAAUGAUAUAAUAAUAAUAAAGAUUUUUUUUAAUAUAAAUAGAAGGUUUUGAUAUCUUUCUUACCUUUCUAUGUCACUUUAGAAAUAUUUUUUGCUUGUAUGUCCUGCAUUGUCCAAAGUGCACACAGAGAUAUAUUUUGAAAAAGUUUUGUGUUUAAAAGUAAAUUGCAGAAACAUACCUUAGUAGUAAUUGCAUUUCUUGACAUGCUGUGCAACGGUCAACUAAUUAUUGGGUAUUGAAGUCACACAGCCACAAACCUCGUGAGAGGAGUGUCCCUGGGCUGCACUGCAGCAGUUUACUCCAUUGCCACUUAUUUCUUUGCCUGGAAGCACAGGAGAUAAAAGACUAACCUUAAGACUACAGUGCAAGUCAAUAGUAAGGUCCUGAAUGAAGUGGGAGACACAGUGCUUAAAGUCCCUGCUGGACAGCAGUCAAUAUCAGACAUCACACUUAAACUGUCACAAUUUGACCUGACAAUCCUUUUUCAGAAGGACCAGAAAUAGAGCUAGCCAAGUUACCUUGCAUUUCUGAAGAAGGUCAGAUGCAGGUCACUGGCAGAUGGAAGUGUGGAUUAAAGAUGUCUGGCAUGAGUAUAAGCACGAACAUUUCUAGCCUGCAUAAACAUAAAUGCUAAGAUGCAUGAGGGAUUGCUACUGCCUAGUCGAAACAGGAGCACGGUUAAAAGAUCUUUAUAAAGAACAAAGAGAGAUGUUUGCCGUGUUCAUGUGGAAAAAAAAAUACUGGAAGAAGAAAAAAAAGAAGACUUAUAUAGUCAGCAAUAUAUGUUCUAAAAAUGCAAUUUCCGGAUUAAUAACAAAGACGCUGUUCUAGUUCACCAGUUCCUUUAGGACGUGCGCUUUUGACCCACGCAACAUAUUGUGCCCCAUGGCUCUUAGCUGAACUGUGACUUAACCGUGCCUAUUUUUUUUUAAAUGUGUGAUGUCUAUUAAAACUAGCUGGUGCUUGUACCAGCACCCCAGUGGAAAUGAAAGAGAUGUCUCGGUGGACUGUCCAUUGGUUAAAUAUUAAAGGAUCAAACUUUAAUAUUUAAGUGUGUAUGUAGUAUAUUAUAUAAAACAAAUUCCCAUCUGAAUAUUUUAAGUUUUCCCUUUAAUCUUGGGAAAGCCAGCAUUUCCACCCCUUAACUUUAAUUAAUCAGAUAAAACAGUAUUUCAAGGAUAUAUCUCCUAUGAAAAGAGUAAGGCUUUUCUGUGAUUAUAUAUAUCUUUGCUCCAAGGCACUUAUUAAUUUGCUUAAAAGUCCAUGAAUCAUUUCAGAGAUUGUUUUAGCACUUGUCAUCUUAUCAGUCCACGUCUGAGGAAGGCAUGCUUGAAAAAAAUAGAAUGAAAUAUUAAGUAUUCCAGCAUGCUCUACAUUAUAAAUAUAACUGUCUUCAUUUUAUAAAUGAGUUACCAUAAAAACAGAGCAGCAGAGGAGGGUGAGAAGUGAUGGAGCACAGUGAAAGACAGUGGGCCUGACAAAUACAGCUGGGGAGGGAGUCAAAGGCAGCAGCAGGAUAGACAGAGCAGGAAAUCUCUCAUCCUCCUGCAGCUGCAGUACUCCUUGGCUCAGCUAUUUUGUCUUCAUGCGCCAGGAAAUGGGAGGAGCGGGUGCUCUGCAAGGGCAGAGUGUGGUGGUGGGGUGGAAGAGGCUGUGUCCCAACACUGAGAGCUGCCCUGCCCCAGCUGAGCUUGCAGAGCCACCCACUGAUGGCAACACCUUGUCCCUAUCACCUUGACAAGACCGGAUGGCAAGGCAGGUCCAAGAUCAAGGCAAACCUCCUCUCCCUGAAGUAUCACACUGAAAACAGAAAAUAUAGGUUCUCCAGGUUAGCAGAACUGAGGUCCACAGCUCCAAAGAUAUUUCUUCACCAUCCCAAUACACAGCACUGAAGUACUCAAAAUCUCUGCCAAACUACCCUUUGACUGGAUGGGUGUAUAAAUCCUGUAGUUGGCCCAGUGACAAUGCACAGCCUGACUGCUAAAGUCACUCAAGUUAGCUUAUUACAUCCAGAAAUUAAUUUAACUAAAUUAGGAUUAGGUCUUGUGUUGAGAAGCUGUACCUUUCUGAAAUAUGAAGAGGAUUAUUCCUUGAACUGAGAGUGCUCAGGAUCUAACAUGCAGUAUUAUCAAUACACAAGGUACAUGUAUGCUUUCUUUCUACUUGCAAGAACUUGUCUGGAGAGGGAGGCCCAGGGAAGACCUUAUAGCUCUCUACAGUUACCUGAAAGGAGGUUGUGGUGAGGUGAGGGUCUGCCUUUUCUUCCACAUAACUAGUGACAGGACGAGGACCUCAAGUUGUGCCAAGGUAGGUUCAGUUUGGAUGUUAGGAAAAAAUUUGUCUCCAAGAGAGUGGUCAGGUGCUGGAACAGACUGCACAGGGAGGUGGUGGAGUCACAGUCCCUGGAGGUGUUCAAGAAAUGCUUAGAUGUUGUAUAAAGGGACAUGAGUUAUUGGGGAAGUAUUGGUGGUAGCUGGACAAUUGGACCAGAUGAUCUUGGAGGUCUUUUCUGAUGUUGGUGAUUCUAUGAAUUAUCCCUGUUUACUGAGAUAGCUGCCUAGGUUUUGGAACCCAUCUACUUUUUAAAUUACUGGUUUAUCUGGUGCAGGGUUGGGCAUUAUUUAAGCCAUUGUCACUCAGAUACAGCCACUGACAAACUCCUGCACGGCAAAAUAACCAAAAUGUAGGUGGGGAGAAAUGGUGUUUAGGACCCUUGGAGCCUAUGCAGAACAGAGAACAGAUGACUAUGCCUAGUCCCACUUCUCUGCUCUUUCAGCUGAAUGAGGCAGACACAUGCUCAGAUGAUAUAUAUAUUUGGCAGCCCUUCACUAUUUUUUGUCUGGAAAGUUGUCUUUGGGCUGAGAAAUCCAUGAGGAUAUAGGAAGAAAAAAAGUUAGCUUUGCAACAUUUAAGUACCUUUGAGGAUCUGGGCCCAAAGGCUUAAUCUGACACCAUCAAAGUCAGUUGAAGCUUCCUGAAGUUAGAAUGGAAAAUUGAGGUAAGAAUGUGAAUAUGCUCUUUUAUCAUUUCUUUUUUAUAGUUUCUGUUGAUAAAAAGCCUUGGAGUAGCAAUUCUUCUUUGAUGCUUCUGCUGUAAAAUCAGAGUUCAAAGGGGCUAGUUUGGAUUUUUACAAUGCUCUGACUUUUUAUCCUUUUUCUUCAGCAGCACAAUCAGAGGAGCAAAUUGAGCAAUAGAGCGAAUGAAAAAUAAAUGCUAUGAAAAUCUUAUUAAUUUCUCUGUCUACUUGGCUUACCAUAGAAACUUAGCUAGCUGAGGAGUCAAAAUUUGUCAGGUUGAGUGAAGGAAGGAAGGAAGCAAUUGUUCUGUGAAGGUGGAGGUAUGGAGAGGAGGAAAGGACAAACUGGCAAAAGAGAGAAGCAGAGAGGAAGAAUGAAACAUAAUAGCACCUUUUCUUAAUAGUUAUAAAGAAGAAUUUUGAUCUGAAAAAUUAAAGAUGGAUGAUCAAAUAUAAUGCUACUUGUUCUGUUUACAAUUUGAUGAGGGAGACUCAAGCUGUUAAUUUGGUGUAUUGCCUUUUCUCUAUCACUGUCAGAAUUGCGAAAUGAUUCAGAAGAAGGUUCAGAAACUUUUAUUACAGAUAAUUAUGAAGUAAUCUCUUGUUAAGAAAGUUUCGUCCUGGCCUGACACUGGUAGAUUAGAUAACAGGCAUUUAAGCCUUGAACUGAAAUCUGUCUAAUGUAAUUGGAUAUUCAGUCUCUGAAGAAAUUUCUCUGUAUAGCUCUAAGCUCUUGGUGUCAAUGCUAUCCUGUUCCAAGGAAAACUGUGCAUGAAAUAUUUUCUGCAUAGGAAAAUAUUUCCUUUUAUCAAGUUUAAAAUUGUUACCUUCCAGUUUUAUGGCAGUUCCAUUUACUCUUAUAACAUGUUAACAGCAAAUUUAGCCAUGUAACUACAGCUGAAUUACACUACUGAGGAUUCAAAAAAUGGUGAUACUAAAGCUCAUUAUUCACUGAGAAAAUCUAAUGCAGUGGUGUUUCUGAAGGUGGAGAGGUUGUACCCCAAAGACACUUUGACUGAGCUAUUUCUGUAGGUUUUCCUGCUUGAUUAUGUUUGAAAAUAAUUGUCUGACGGAUUAUUAUAUUAUUAUUUUUUUCCAUUUGUGUGGAAAGGAGGAAUUGAAUUUUAGAUGUGAAAAAUUUGAUUUAUCACCGAGGAAGAAGAUAGAUUGGAAACCAAAAAUGGAGAUGAAUAGUUAAUGGAAGGAAAACAUCAGAUGGAGAAGUAUGGAAAUGGAGAAAGUACAAGCAUCAGGAUGAAGAGAAAGGGAGUUGGGACUAAGAGAAUUCAAGCUGUAUUGAAUAGAAGAUAGAGCUUUCUUCUAUAGCUGGAUGUUGUGGUUUAACCCAGUAGGUGGCUCAGCACCACAGUCAUUUGCUCACCUUCCCAAUGGGAUGGAGGAGAGAAUAAUAAUAAAAAAAUAUAUAGAACUCACUGGUUGAGAUAAAAUUAUUUACUAAGAUAGAGAAAGGGAAAAGGAAAAGAGUUAUGACUAUAUAUACAUAAAUGUACAUAACAAAUGAUACACAAAUAAUUGCUCACAACCCCCAGCCAAUGCCCAGCUAGGCAGGCCCCCGAGCAGCAGAAGAGAGUGAGAUGAACUCCUACCCCCUUCAAAACUCCUUCUGCAUGAUGUCAUAUGGGAUGGAAUAUCUCUUUGGCCAGUUUAAGUCAGUUGUCCUAAUCCUGUUCCCUCCCAGCUCCUUUGGCCCUUCACUGAGAAUGGCCUUGGCUCUGUGCUGCUUGGCAGCAGCUAUGAACAUCAUUUUUCUCUUAGAACCAAAACACAGCAUCAUAACAGACACUCUGAAGACAACAACUUCGUCCCAGCUGAAACUAAGACACUGGAAGACGUAGAGGUCCCAAAGCACUGAUAGAGAACAUUCUGAAUAGAGAAACACCUACAAUUUACUUACUGUGGGGCAUAUUUCUUGGCAAUGACAUGCAGUUGUUUCUUUUCUUUCUUAGGUGUGGUACUUAUACGAUGUGAGUGUGUGAAGUGGGGGAGCCAUCAUAUGGAAAUAUACAAUCUUGAUACUCUUGAGUUUUGCCUGACUCCUAGCCAAUCUUCUACACAUUUUUCUAGUGGAAUAAGUUUCAGUAUAAGUGAUUUGACUAAAGGGCAUGUAGCAACAGGAUGAGGGGAAAUGGCCUUAAAUGAAGAGGGUAGAUUUAGACUAGCUAUCAAGAAGAAAUUCUUUACUAUGAGGGUGGUGAGACACUGGAACAUGUUGCCCGGUGAGGCUGUGAAUGCUCCCUCCCUGGAAGCAUUCAGUGCCUGGCUAGAUGGGACUUUGAACAAGCUGGUCUAGUGGGAGGUGUCCCUGCCUAUAGCAGGGGGUCAGAACUAGGUGAUCUUAAAGGUCCCUUCCAGCCCAAACCAUUCUACUAUUCUAUGAUUCUAUGAUAGCAUGAACAGUUCUUCUCAUGACAAUGCUUAAAAUUCCAUAUACUUUGGAGACUACAACUAAAUGUGGGGCAAGAAAUAUACUGGACUGUUUUUGGUAAAAAGCUUAUCAUUUUUUCUUAGGAAAUGAAUACGUUCUUAAAUGAGAGACACUCUUCCAGAAAAUAACUCAAGGUGAUCCUUAUGUACUGCAGUCCAAAGCAAAAAGUAGUGUAUACUGUAAAUACUAAUGGCAAGUAUAGAAAAGUGCAGAUCAGUCAUUCUAUCAUCCAGGAUUACCUUUUUUGAUAUAUUGAGCUGAGAAACUUGGCUUUGUUAAGGGAAGCUUUGAGAGGGCUCUGUGGCAGCCCUUCGUUAGCUUUCAACAAGAUCAGGAAAAUCAAAAUGUGAAAUUCCUGUUCUGAUACACAGUAUAUUUAAAAAAAUAUAUAAGGAAUCUGUCAAAGGUAUAAAUUAAUCUAUUCUAAGGAAGAAACAUUUUUAAAAUGAGUUGUCUCAGAUAUUCCCAAAUUAUGUAACUACACAAGAUCAGUCAUUUGGAAUUUUGGGGGCAUAUUACUUUUAGAAAGACAGUGAGAAAUCAAUGUCAUGAGUAUAAACUAUACUUUUUAUUUUAACUAUGAACUGAAAAGCUACAUCCCUUAAUUGAAUAAUAUUUUGAUAAUGUAUUAUGAAUAUUCAACUUUUAUAUUACCUUUCUGGAUUUGUAUUAAGUUUUCUCUGGAGAAAAACUAGGCAGUAUUAUGAGGUUUCCUAAUCUUUCAACAAUGGGAGAAGUAUCACUAUGAGAUUAAUAGCUGGAAUGCAGCUGAAAGUUCGUUCUGUCCAUCAGGAAUUUAACUGGAAUCUUUACUAAUCUUUUGUAGUUACAAACUACUAUGCAGCCAAUAGCAUACAGCUAGAAUUAGUAAGACCUAUGAAGAAAUUCUGUACUGUGCGAUACACAUAAUAGGCUUAAACAGAUUUGGCUUAGUAUACGUUGUUAAUUGACAGCAUAUAACUGCCUAGAAUCACACAGCUGCUUUGCAAACCAUUCAGACAAGCAGUUCUAAAUUAAUACAUAUCUAAUUCAUUAUUUAUGUAACAAAUUCUCUUCUUUCACAAUUAACAAUAAAGAAAAGUAUUUCCAAAGGGGUCAUCACCAUAGCUGACCUUACACUUAUGUGGGACACCAUUUUCAAGGGCUGUAGAGAAUCAGCAACUACUUGGAAUGAAAAAUGAGUUCAGAUUGGAGCCAGCCCUCAUCUCUCAUCUCAAAAGGAAAGGAGCAUAAAUAAAUAAAUAUUUAUCCAACUGCUUAGCUAUAUUUAUUUUCCACUGCCUCCCUGCCUACAGCAACACGGAUGUCCCCUGAGCUCUUGAACCUGUUUAUUUCCCAUCCGCUACCUGUCCAAUUGAAGCAGCACUAAUUAUCCCAGAAGGCUUUGCUCCUGUCAGUUAAGGCAGAAAAAGCACUCAAAGCCUUCUGGAGAUGCACUGGGGCCAUUGCUGGCAACAGGUUGUGGAACUCUUGGUGAAGCACAUCUAAAACCUGGAGUUAUAGCUUGGAGCUGAGCUGGAGCAUUGAAAUGGAGAAGCAGGAAUGAUACUUAAUAGACUUAAGAUGCAACAACAUCUGAGAAACACAUUAUUGCAGACACAUGCACUCCUGACCUAAUUACAGUUAGAUUUAUUUCUCUUCUGCGUGUAAUUUAUAUUGCUGUGUUCUGUUGUUGCUGGAAGUUACCCUCCAUAAUUUGAACCCAGCCCUUAAGAUCAUUCUCUAGGUCUGCGUCAUUUCAGUAAGACCUUUUUUUCAUAGCUCAUACAUUUUCCUGAUUCCAGACUCUCCAAGGUGUAUGGUUUUGGAGGAGAAUCCUGCAACUCAUAUGAGAGCAGUUCAGAUAUAUGGUCACAACAUGACAGGAAGAACCAACACCUCAGGUGUUGCUGGUGAUCAUUCAUCCCACUAGUACUCUGAGCACUAGAUCAGAUAAUUCAAUCAGCAUAGAAAAAAAAAAUCACAACAUCUUAACACAUAAUAAAUUGAUAAUAAAAUUUUAAAAACCUCCUUUCCAGUUAAUUAUUAUUGGAAAUAAAAAAACAACUUCAUUUACUUCCUCUGUACAUAGAACUUGUACAAACCAUAGCAUGGAAUUCAAGUGGAUGGGGCCAGCGUGUGUCAGAAGCCACUCUACCCAUGAGCGUAGCCAUGCAGAAUGGAGGAACUUUUCCAUCUUCCUACUUGACUGCAAACUGAGGGACAGAGCAGAUAAAAAGUGGGUAAUAAAAAAUUCCCAGCAUAGCAGUGUUGUAUUUUUAUCUCCUGUAGGCUUUGUGGAAAAAAAAAAAAAAAAAAAAAAAAAAAAAAAAGAGGAAGAGCUCCUACUGGGGUAUAUGCUCCGGGCCUUAGUUCUUAAUCUGACAAGAACCAAAUAAGGAGUGAAGUGUGUGACAAACGAGAGGCACAAAAGUAUUCAUGCAGGAAACUUGCAAUGUUCUGGGAUUCACUCCCUUCAUAUAAAUUAUUCAUUUUGUAGCUGGAGACUCUGCUUAUGACAAGUGUAAGAUUGGCACUAAAAUAUCAGAUGGACCAUGUGAUCAUUUAGCUAGCUGGAAAAUGAGAAUUCAAGUUCAGGAGAAAAAAAAAAGAUUUGAAAAUUUGCUUCAUUCUGUAUUGGAAAAAACAACCAAAAUGCUGCAUCCUAUUUUUCCUCGUUAUAAAAGCUAAAACAAGAGCUAUCCUCAAAAUAGCAAUACUGGAGGCAUUCAUGUGAAAUUAAAUUCUUGCUCUGCAGUGAAAUUCCUACUGUCUGAUAUAGACAGGAACUUACACCUGUGGCUUCCAGUCCCAGUUCAGCAGUCACCUGGGGACUUGUUUCUGCUUUUCUCUCUCAUUUGUAUCAGAAAUUUAAUCCUAAAUCCAAGGGAAGAUGUUGAAAUGAAAGCAUUUGGUUUUGAUGAACUUAGUAUUUCUGAAUGAAAAAAUAGAAAUGAAAUGAAAAAGUAGAAAUAUUUGUUGAUAUUGCUUGUGCAGAUAAACUUGUGGAAUCUUUGCUAAGCACUCAAUUUAUCUCAAAGAAAUUAUUAACAAUUGUUAACACAUGUUACUAGAAUAAAAUUAAGAAAUAAAUUAAGAAUUCUUUGUUAGCUACUGUAAUUGUUGGCUUUUUAAAGUACCGUGUUAUUUUCUUUCUUCACCGGGACAUUUUUUAGCAUGUUUCCUGAAAUGAAAAUCUGUGUUAAAAGUGGACUGUUGGUUAACACUGAGAACGAGCCUUGUUUUAAACUGCUGUGUUGAAGGUGACUUGAUGUUGGAAGCAUAUAGAACAGUUCCUUCAGUGUUACCAUAGAAUGGUUUGGGUUGGAAGGGACCUUUAAGAUCAUGGAGUUCCAACACCAUGCUAUAGGCAGGGACACCUCCCUCUAGACCAGGUUGCUCAAAGCCCCAUCCAGCCUGGCCUUGAAUGUCUCCAUGGAAGGGGACAUCCAUAGUGUCAGUUUGAAUACAAAUUCCAUUCAACAGUUCUUUAAUUUUAACACUCCCUCUAUAAGACUCUGCUAGUGCUAUACAUCAGCACAAUUGUCCUAAUCCAAACAAAUCUUGUGAUCUCCAAUUCUACGAUAUCCAAAAUAGAACACUGCAAACAUAUUAGGUAAAGCAGAGUAGUUACUCGGUAUGUAUUCUCACAGUAUGUAGUCUCUUCAAAGGAAUAUUAUGAUUUUCUUUACCUACGUGUUUCUCUCCUCUAAUAUCAGUAGUUAUUUUAAUUGUUGCCCACUGUAGGAUGCUGUGGCUCAGUUUUAAUUUUCAAAACCAUGAAAAGCUAUGCUAUAGAUUUUCACUUCACUAACAGUUUUGGGUACUAACGAUGUAUACAAAGAAAUGUUUAAUCAUAGAAUAAUAGAAUCAUAGAAUCACUAAGGUUGGAAAAGACCCACAGGAUCACCCAGUCCAACCAUUCACCCAUCACUAAUAGUUCUCACUAAACCAUGUCCCUCAACACAACAUCCAGGUAAAAUUAUGAGGAAAAAAAGAACUUUUUUUGUGUUUUAUGUAUACAAUAAUCUUUAUAUUGGAGAAUACAGAUGUGAUCAGAACGGUAAAGCUUUUUCUUCUCUCACUAAGAAGGGAGUGAGAAUGUUUUGUUUGAAACACUAGGACAGCUGAUAAAAAAAAACUCCUCUUGUUUCACAAGCACUGAAACUCCACUGAGAAAAACAAUUUCCUUAAACCUGGAAUUAAGAUGCUGGAGAUGGCACAGAAAGUAACAUCACAGAGGUGAGAUUCUCAGCACCCAUAUUUAGCUUUGAAACUAUGGAUGUUUGGUUAAUAGAAGACAUUACUGCAUGUGAGACACACAAUAUCAUAUCAUAUAAUCAUAGAAUCAUAGAAUGGCCUGGGUUGAAAAGCACCAUAAUGAUCAUUUAGUUUCACCCCCCCUGCUAUGUGCAGGGUCGCCAGCCACUUGACCAGGCUCCCCAGAGACACAUCCAGCCUGGCCUUGAAUGCAUCUGUCCCCAGGGAUGGGGCAUCCACAACCUUCUUGGGCAACCUGUUCCAGUGCAUCACCACCCUCUUGGUGAAAAACUUCCUCCUAAUAUCCAACCUAAACCUCCCCUGUCCCAGUUUAAAACCAUUCCCCCUUGUCCUAUCACUAUCCACCCUUGUAAACAGCUGCUCCCCUUCCUGUUUAUACGCUCCCUUCAAGUACUGGAAGGCCACAAUGAAGUCUCCCCGGAGCCUUCUCUUCUCCAAACUAAACAAGCCCAGUUCCCUCAACCUUUCCUCAUAGGAGAGGUGCUCCAGCCCUCUUAGUGGCCCUCCUCUGGACCCGCUCCAGGAGCUCCAAGUCUUUCCUGUACUCGGGACCCCAGGCCUGGAUGCAGUACUCCAGAUGGGGCCUCACAAGAGCUGAAUAGAGGGGCACAAUCACCUCUCUCUCCCUGCUGGCCACCCCUUUUUUUAUGCAGCCCAGAACACAGUUGGCCUUCCAGGCUGCAAGGACACACUGCUGGCUCAUGUCCAACUUCUCAUCUACCAGGACCCCCAAGUCCUUCUCCGCAGGGCUGCUCUCAAGGAGAUCUUCCCCCAGUUUGUAUAAGUCCCUGGGAUUGCCCCAACCCAAGUGCAGCACCCUGCACUUGGCCUUAUUGAACCUCAUUAGGUUUUCAUGGGCCCACUUCUCCAGCCUGUCCGGGUCCCUCUGGAUGGCUUCCCUCCCUUCCAAUGUAUUGACUACACCGCUCAGCUUGGUGUCAUCUGCAAACUUGCUGAGGGUCCACUCGAUGCCAUUGUCUAUGUCAUUGAUAAAGAUGUUGAAGGGCACCGGUCCCAGGACCGACCCCUGAGGGACACUGCUUGUGACUGGCCUCCAUCCUGACACAGACCCAUUGAUCAAAACCCUUUGGCUGUGUCCAGCCAGCCAAUUCCUAAUCCACUGAACAGUCCAUCCAUCAAAUCCACACUUCUCCAGUUUAGAGAGAAGGAUGUGGUGAGAGACGAUGUCAGAACUCCAAGGCGGUGUGCAAUGCCAGCCAACAAAUUUGGCUGUUGGACACUGCCAGAUCCUCUUCCGUGUGAGAAAAUAUCAGACCUGUUGUCCAGCAAUCUGAAAGAAAUGUCUUUUAGGGAGAUGAACUGUGAGUGAGGGAGAUUAAGGUGGGAAAAGUCCAAGGAAAUUUCUAAAAUUCUGCCAUUCUGGAGCAAGGAAUUGGUGACAAGAAACUAUCAGUCUGCAGAGAUGAUGCAUCAGUGUUCAUAUAAACUUAUCUUCAAGUUAGCAGAUGAGAGAUAAAUAGAGGUUAGAGAUAAGCUCAGAGGUCUGCACUGAACCCAAACCACAAAGCAUUUUAUUGACAAUAAGUUAUAAAACAUUAAAAAUGACUGCAGGCUGCCCACCUGAGUUAUUCAGAGCUAAAAAAAAUGUUUACUGCUUUUGUUAAAAGGAGUUUUUUGCAUGUAAGCUAUACAGACCAACUCUCACAACUUAUGCCACAUCCUUUAGCAGCUACUGUUACGGAGUCAUUUCUAUGAAUUACUAUUAGUUCAUCCGAAUAGCUAUUACCAUAUUAUCUAGGCUCUGGGGAAGAGCUAUUGGCUACAACUGCAUAGACAUUUUUGGAGAAAGUAUUCAUAACCAAUUCAACAAAGCCAAACCAGACUUUGGAAAAAACAUUAUUGGGAAAAAUAUUUGUGAGAAUGAAAGUAGACGUCCAUUGAACUACUGUCUGGCUUCUCAGCUGCAGAUCUAGCAAACAGCAUGUUUAUCCAAGGCGCAAUCCCCCUGAGGCCAGACUACCCACUGCUUUUGGACAACACAUCAGAGGAAAGACAGAGAGCUUCACAGUCUCAUGUGAUCAAGAGAUGCCUGCCCUGGCAGUAGAAAUGCUGCCACAUCUCUUGGGGACUCAGCCAAGGGGUUUGAAUCAGCUGUGUGAUCCCUCUGCUCCCGGGGAACCUCUCAGGCUCUGCAGCCUUGAGAGUUGCUUGGGGAGCUGCCCUCAGAACCUAGGUAAGCAGAAAGACUUCCCAGAAGUUGUGGCAACUGAGUGCUCCACAACAUUUAGGAAAAAUGAGAGAGAAAUAUUUUAGCUUUCCCUUAAGAAACAGACCUCUGCACAUCUGCACAUCUUCCUGCGAUGUAUUUUGCCAUUUGAGUUCUGAACUGGAACAUAUUUUUAUUUUUGUACAAAGCAUUCUGAUGGGGGAACUUUUUUUUUUUGUGGCAGUCCUGAGUUUUGAUUUGUUCUACUAUAAGGCAGUGUUCAAAGACAAUAUUCUGCUUAUCUUUGAGCAUAUAAUAACAAGAAAGGAAUAUUAUGCUAAAUGCAAGAAACAUUUAGUCAGCAUGAACCACUAGUGCCUCCAUCAAGCACCUGUUUUCAUAUGAGAGACUGGUGCAGACAGAAUCUAAGAGCCAUUAGUGAGGUGUCCACAUCAGAAGGUGCAAAGGAAGCUUAUGGAUUUGUUAAGCUGAGUUACAAUUUUGAGAUUUUAUUCUGGAAUUCCUGUUAACUCACAAUGAUAUAAAUUACAGACUUGUGUUAAAGCAAAGGAAUACUUAGAUUCUGUACUUCUUGCAAACAUCCCCAACUCUACAGAAUAGUUAGUGGUAAAAGUCUGCAAAAGAACUAUAUGUCGGAAAUGUAGGAAUAGUCUUGAUGCAGAGGUUGCAGCCUGUGCUAGCAAAAAUGGCCCCAAACCACUAUGGGACUAAACAGAAAAAAAAUGGAGCUACUAACUGUGCUCUGCAAAGUGGAAUGAUGCCAUCAGCUCACCACUGGGUUCAGCUUGGAUGUGCCAUCUAUCUCAAAUUGUUCAAAAAGUAUCAAGAAGAGAGUAAGAGAUUACCCAAGAGAUAAUGCUGUUGACACUCCAGGACUGGCAUUGCUGAAGAGAGGUGGAAAAUCACUAGUCAUUUCAUUGAAAAAUGACAGUAGCUUCUGCUUGAAACAUCUCUGCUUUGACAAAUACUUUCUUAUCGUUGUCUUUAGCAAUAGCAUUAGAACCUCGACAUCCCAUGCUUGCACUUCUCUUUUAUAUUGCCACCACAUAUUCCUAUCGUAGAUACUGGGAUUGCCUCAUGCACCCAGGCAUCCCUCCUCAUUCCUUUCUGGAUGAUAAGGUCCUACCAGAAAUUACUUUCCUUAGUUAUCAAGUGACUCCAUUAUUGAAUUUCAUCUGAUUUUAUUAAAGGACUUCCAGCAGAGUCCUGAUUCUCCUCUCUAUUGACAGUUCUUCCCCGCAUCUGUCAUCAGUACAUCUAAUUACUCAAUUCUACUUCUUGAGCCAAGACUAUUAGUGAAAAUGAUGAACAGAUAGAAAAACAUAUCCUAGAACCAGUCCAUAAAAAACAUCUAUACCAAUUUUCACCUAAAUGCACCCUCUUUCAUUCGUCCUCUUUGCUCUCAUCCUUUCAUCUAUUACUUUAAUCAGUUUACAGUAUUUCUCCUCAUUAGUAUCUCUUCCUGUUUAGUUAAUAAUGUCCCAUACUGAGUUGUUCCAAACACUUUCUAGCAAUCUGAGUCACUGUACUGUAUUUCACUGCCAUUUUCUUUUUUUUUAAAGGAUCAUUUCUCUGAUGAAAGAAGACUGUGUGGUUUAUGUUUUUAAUAUUCUUUGCAAAAUUUUAAAAAUCAUUUUUAUUAGUGUCAUUUUACCCUUAUUUUCCUGAACAUAUACAUACAAUAUACAUAUAUAUAUGUAUUUACCUUAAUUGAUCUUUUUCAGUUCUUAAGAUUUAUUUUUGGGAGAGUCAUUAUUUACUAGUUAGACAUGGAUGACUUGUCUAGGUAUAAGAUUUCACCACUUCUGUAGAGCACAAAUUCCAGGUGAUUUUGUCAAACCUAUUUCUCAUUUCUUGCCACCAGGAAGCAAGCCAAGUGCUUCCCAAAACAUCACAAUUUUCAACACCACAAUUGGCAGUUAUUGACAGUCUCAGUGGAGAGGACAAUGACUAGAUUGGCAAGGAAAAUGAAUUAAUUUGUCAUUCUGAGUGGAUCUUCUGUAACAAGGCUAAAGGAGUUUGGCAGCUCAUAAUUGGAAAUCUUGUUUUUUGCUGGCAAUACUCUAUCUAUACAGUGAACGAUGCAAAGGCUUCAGAGUUAUCACUCUGGUGCUCAUUAAAAAUUAAACAGAUAAAAAUACUAGCCAAGAAACAUCAAUGCAGCUAGCGAGAAAGAAACAAUCACGCAAAAAUAAAUGUGAAGCCCAUAUUGACUUGGAGUUUACUAUUUCCUGAGUAACUCUCACAUCCCUGGUUUGGUGGGAGCCCUCAGCUGAUUCUCACCAGCUCAGUGUUUGAACUGGCAAUUUUAUGGGUCAGAGGGAGGUUUUGCCAGAUGCACAGAUUUCAGUGCUUUGUGAACAGCCAGAAAUGUGGCAACAGAUUUUUUUGACAGUAUCAAUUAGAUCUUCUAUCCAUUGGGUCUUGCUGAGAAAGUCCUUGUCUAACAAGCACUGCAUGUACAGCUUGAAACAUGGGCAAUUCCCUUUGGAGGCCAUUUAGGAAAGAUUGUAACCAUUUUCUUUCACAGCCUGUUUACUUGCAGAUUAUUUUCUCAACUCUUAAAGCAUUGCUAAGAUACACAUACGUUUGUUCUGUAAUUUCUACUGAAGUCAGUGUCAGCAGAUGUGACAUUUCUGUCUCAGUCUGUAACAGCAAGUGGAAGAAUGGGGGAUACUAUUCCCUGUAUGACUUUACUUUCCUCUCGAGUUAUCUUAUGGCAUUCUUUACAGUUUUAUUUUUUUCUCUUUACAGUUUUAAAUGCAAAGUUUGGAGGAAACCAUCCUUUAAAUGAAUUCCUUUCCUAGUCUGUGUUUUCUUCAUUUUAUGGAGGGCGAUUUUCCUUUCUGUCCCUUGGCACCCAGUAUCUUUCCAGAGAAUGACUGUCUUUUUAUUUCCUUUCAAGUUCCUUUUACUUACCCACUUACCCUGUGCCAUUUUCUAGUACUGAAACUCCUUCUGUCUGUUCAACCCCACAGUUCCAGGCUCUAGGUCACUCUCCCUGUCCUCCCAGUCAUUAUCCCGUGCUCUCUCCCUGCCACCUUGGUUUCUGCACUGUUUUCCUCGCUUCCCUGCAUAAAUAUUCUCUCUUUUGUUGUAGUUGUUGUCAUUUAAUCUCACAGACCUGAAGAAGGAUUCAUAGUAGGAUGAAGACGGGGCUUCUCGAUGGUUGCUUUCACACCAGCUGACCACCUGCCUCCUUAAAUCUGGAAUUAAUGCAUGCACAGCAAGCAUAAGAAUAAACAAUGUAAGAUUUUACAUAAUUUCAUGCUUUCUAUGAAUUGUUUGAUGAUUUCAAAAUGACUGUUGUUGCAAGUAAGUUAUGGCUUGUGCUAUUCAAUUUAUAAAUGAUCUAAAAUAAAUUUCAUACAGUGACAGUUUUCUGAUGAUAUUAUUUACUUUAAAGAAAUCAAAAGUCAGCUAUAAAGAGAUGCAGAAGUAUCUCAUAGUACUGAAAUACUAUACAAAUUAAUAAGUCUAUAUAAAAUAAUAUACAUGGGACAAAAUCCUAACUUAGUGUGUAUCAUGAAUUGAUGGUUUGGGGUUCUUGGGAUUUGGGAUUUUGAUGAAUGGUUCUAUGAAAAUGUGGAGUUAACAUAUGAAUUCCUUAGAAGAAAAAAAAAAAAAAAGGAAUAUUAGGGAUUCUGAAGAAAGCAGUAGAAAACAAGGAGACAACUAUCAUCAUUUUGUCACCACUUAAUGGUGAUGAAUCUCUGAGGCACGUAUGCCUUGACCAUCCAGUGCAUUUAUGAUCACUUCACCUCAAAAAACAUAAUACAGCUGCAAAAGUCUCAGACAAGGGCAACAAAGGACAAGUGAACUUCUGGAAUGGCUUCUGAGCCGUGCAGGAACACUGAGCAGAUUACAGAGACAGCUUAGAGGGUAUACAACAG
rnacentral:lncRNA from 1 species